UACGUAGGGUGCAAGCGUUAAUCGGAAUUACUGGGCGUAAAGCGUGCGCAGGCGGCUUUGCAAGACAGAUGUGAAAUCCCCGGGCUCAACCUGGGAACUGCAUUUGUGGACUGCAUGGGCUAGAGUACGGUAGAGGGGGGAUGGAAUUCCGCGUGUAGCAGUGAAAUGCGUAGAUAUGCGGAGGAACACCGAUGGCGAAGGCAAUCCCCUGGACCUGUACUGACGCUCAUGCACGAAAAGCGUGGGGAGCAAACAGG
rnacentral:rRNA from 1 species